rnacentral:rRNA from 1 species
UGGGGGAUAUUGCACAAUGGGCGAAAGCCUGAUGCAGCGACGCCGCGUGGGGGAUGAAGGCCUUCGGGUUGUAAACUUCUUUUGCUCUGAACAAGGCGCACCAUGGGGUGUGUUGAGUGUAGGGGUUGAUUAGCGCCGGCUAACUACGUGCCAACAGCCGCGGUAAUACGUAGGGCGCGAGCGUUGUCCGGAAUUAUUGGGCGUAAAGGGCUUGUAGGUGGCUGGUUGCGUCUGUCGUGAAAGCUCAUGGCUUAACUGUGGGUUUGCGGUGGGUACGGGCUGGCUUGAGUGCAGUAGGGGAGGCUGGAAUUCCUGGUGUAGCGGUGGAAUGCGCAGAUAUCAGGAGGAAUACCGGUGGCGAAGGCGGGUCUCUGGGCUGUUACUGACACUGAGGAGCGAAAGCAUGGGGAGCGAACAGG